rnacentral:rRNA from 1 species
UACAGAGGGGGCAAGCGUUGCUCGGAAUUACUGGGCGUAAAGGGCGCGUAGGCGGACAGUUUAGUCAGAGGUGAAAGCCCAGGGCUCAACCUUGGAAUUGCCUUUGAUACUGGCUGUCUUGAGUUCGGGAGAGGUGAGUGGAAUGCCGAGUGUAGAGGUGAAAUUCGUAGAUAUUCGGCGGAACACCAGUGGCGAAGGCGACUCACUGGCCCGAUACUGACGCUGAGGCGCGAAAGCGUGGGGAGCAAACAGG